rnacentral:tRNA from 1 species
GGAGAUAUAGCUCAGUGGUAGAGUGCAUCCUUGGUGUGCAUGAGGUCCUGGGUUCAAUACCCAGUGUUUCUC